GACGAACGCUGGCGGCGUGCCUAAUACAUGCAAGUAGAACGCUGAAGGAGGAGCUUGCUUCUCUGGAUGAGUUGCGAACGGGUGAGUAACGCGUAGGUAACCUGCCUGGUAGCGGGGGAUAACUAUUGGAAACGAUAGCUAAUACCGCAUAAUAGUAGAUGUUGCAUGACAUUUGCUUAAAAGGUGCAAUUGCAUCACUACCAGAUGGACCUGCGUUGUAUUAGCUAGUUGGUGAGGUAACGGCUCACCAAGGCAACGAUACAUAGCCGACCUGAGAGGGGGAUCGGCCACAAUGGGACUGAGACACGGCCCAGACUCCUACGGGAGGCAGCAGUAGGGGAUCUUCGGCAAUGGACGGAAGUCUGACCGAGCAACGCCGCGUGAGUGGAGGAGGUUUUCGGAUCGUAAAGCUCUGUUGUAAGGGAAGAACGAGUGUGAGAGUGGAAAGUUCACACUGUGACGGUAUCUUACCAGAAAGGGACGGCUAACUACGUG
rnacentral:rRNA from 1 species